rnacentral:lncRNA from 1 species
AUUCGGUUCAUCAGCCAGCCCAAUCAGGUCUGCCUCCCAGCUCUCUCUUCACUAUGACCUUCUUCCCCCUUCCAUGUAGUUUAAGCUGCUGCCUAGAGCGUUUGGACAGCCUUUUUCUGCUGCCGGCCAAGCUGUCUCUCUGCCUUUUCCACACUGCACCUCACCCAGCAGUCAAAGUAGGCAGUCCCUCGGAUUCCUACCGCAGUGCUCUGGCUCAAGACCUUCCGGCACUUGUUACAUAUGUAUCUUAUUGUGAUUCUUCUUCACCUUGUUCUCUGACUGCCCCGGUGGGACAGCGAUUCUUGGUUGUUCACCCUUCAAUCUCUCUGGCUUACAAGAAGAGGUAAGUUAACAGGUGUGGGCUUUCUGUUUUGUUUUCAUUUGGAUUUUUGAGACAGGAUCUCUUUAUGUAGCUCAGGGACAUCCUGGAGCUCUAUAUCCUGAAACUCACAGAGAUUCUCUCACCACUGCCCCGAGUAGUGCUGGGAUUAAACGUGUGCCACCAUGUCCAACAGUGAAUAGAUUUUUUUUUAAAUAUACAUAUCAGGCUAAGGAACUUUAAUUUGAGUCAUCAAACAAAGAGGACCUGACACAUAUCAGAGAAAAAGAUGAGGAGGCUGAAAAACAUGAUUUUGGUCUCCCUUUAAAAAAAAUUAUUUAUUUAAUGUAUUGAGUACACUAUCACUGUCUUCAGACACACCAGAAGAGGGCAUCAGAUCCCAUUACAGAUGGAUUGAGCCACCAUGUGGUUGCUGGGAAUUGAACUCAGGACCUCUGGAAAAGCAGUCAGUGCUCUUAACCACUGAGCCAUCUCUCUAGCCCUUGAUCUCCCUUUAUUGACCAUUCUCCAGUUGACAUAAAAUUCUAGAAGUCAAGCUGGGAUUGCAUAGAGAGCAUUUCAAAGAAAACUCCACAGAAUUUCCUGUCUUUUUCAUAUUUUUCAUAUUUUGUGCCUGUUGCUGGAGGUUGAAUGUAGGGCCUCAUUCAUCUUAAGGUGCACUCAGCCCCCAGUCACCAUUUCAUUCCGCCCCUGAACUUCCAUCUUCUUGAACAUGAUUAAGUUUGGUAGACCAGAAAAAAUGUUGUGUCUUCUCUUGAUAAAGACGGUGCAUUGAGGAGGAACCUCACAUUGAAGGGAAGAUGGGCUCCAUUUUCAGACACUUGGAGUUUGAGGUGACUCAGAUGUUCCCUGUGGAGUGUGGGCACUGGAUGGUCAUGCACCUCCGUUCUAAUGCCUUUGUUCAAAGGUCAACAAGUUGAAAUGAGUCCCACAAGUCAGCCAGAAAGGAGAGCCCUAAAGUUCUAAAAAUCUUAAACCCUGUUAAACAAAAUAUAAGGACAUAGCCAAAGGAGUUCUGAAUUAUACAUUUUAAAAUUAGGUAUGACCAUUAAUAGGUAUGCUAUUUAAGAAGUAUUAUCAUGUUAAAAUUUCUACUAUCCCUUCCUCCGUUUUUUUUUUUUUUUUUUUCUUUCCAAUUUGUGUUGCCUAUAUUCUCACUGGAGCAUUAUCAAGCUCCCAGUGGCCAGCCCUUUAAAGAAAACUGAGUCCUACCCCACCCCUAAUCCUGGAGCUGUUACACUUUGGCAUCUUUAUCGCAGUCUUUAAGGAUUCUCUUCAAUAGCUUCCGGUCUAGACUGUUUCUUUCUUUCUUUUUUCUUUUUUUUUUUUUUUUUGAGAGGGCGGUGGUCUAGUAGGAGGCGAGGUUGUCACAGAAGCCUUCAAUGUCUCUCAUUCUUGGUUACGAAUCUUCAGUCAUUGAUACCACUGCAGAGGAGCUUCGUCGCCCAUAGCAGCCCGUGGCUACAUGGAUCAUGGGACUUCUGCAUGGUUUUGGGGGGGGGGGGCAGCUUGGAUCACAGACAUCUACCUGGUCUCCCGCAGCAGCAUGGACCAUGAACAUCAACAAGGCCUGCUGCGGCAGGAAGAAUCGACACGGCCUCUGGAGGUGGCAUGGACCACGGACGUCUUUCAAGGAGACUUAAUCCAGAAAACGGAUCACUCAUCUCAGACAAUCUUGUUCAGAGUCAGUGUGUGCAGUUGGGCCGUGUGUCUGGGGGCAGGACCUGUGUGAAAUCCAGGCUGCUGCACAGCACUCUGCCCUUAGCUGCCCUGUCAACAGCCUAGGCACAACCAUCCUAUCUGCAGCACAAGGGCAGUGAGGUAACCCUGGAUCUUAUCCCCACAGCAGGGCGAGCAGCCAGAGAAGCUCCAGCUGCUGUAAUGUAAACAAAUAAUAUGUAAUAAAAAAAGAAAUAAAAGUAACAAAAAAAGAAA